AACUCGUGAUGAGGGCACAACCUAAACAUUUACUUAAAUCCCUAUCAUCCCUCGUAGAGAGAUUUUCCGUCCUUCAGAGUAAAACCUAUAAUGUGAUAUCUUAGUU